rnacentral:rRNA from 1 species
UACAGAGGUCUCAAGCGUUGUUCGGAUUCAUUGGGCGUAAAGGGUGCGUAGGUGGCGUCGUAAGUCAGGUGUGAAAUUUCGGAGCUUAACUCCGAAACUGCAUUUGAUACUGCGGUGCUUGAGGACUGGAGAGGAGACUGGAAUUUACGGUGUAGCAGUGAAAUGCGUAGAGAUCGUAAGGAAGACCAGUGGCGAAGGCGGGUCUCUGGACAGUUCCUGACACUGAGGCACGGAAGGCCAGGGGGAGCAAACGGG